rnacentral:rRNA from 16 species
CCGAAAUGCAUUUAGGUGCAGCCCCGCAUCAGAGGCUGGCGCGAGGUAGAGCGACUGAUAGGACGCGAGGGCUUCACCGCCUGUCAAGUCCUGACAAACUCCGAAUGCGCGCCUGCCGUGGCGGGAGUGAGGGCGCGGGUGCUAAGGUCCGCGCCCGAGAGGAGAAGAAUCCUGACCGCCGGCCAAGGCCCCGAAAC